rnacentral:rRNA from 1 species
AUUCCAGCUCCGAUAGCGUAUAUUAAAGUUGUUGCAGUUAAAAAGCUCGUAGUUGGAUUUCUGGUGCAUUCCACUGGCCUAUUGGUUAACUCCAACUUGGCUCAUUUGGAAUACGCCAUCUUUAGGCAGACCCGUCGUGGCAUUAGGUUGUCGUGAUGGUUACGCCUAUCGUUUACUGUGAAGAAAUUAGGGUGUUCAAAGCAGGCUUAUGCCAUGAAUACGUUAGCAUGGAAUAAUGAGAUAGGAUUUCGGUACUAUUUUGUUGGUUUGUGUACGGAAAUAGUGAUUAACAGGAACAGUGUUGUGGGUAUUCGUAUUUCGUUGUCAGAGGUGAAAUUCUUGGAUUUACGAAAGACGAACGACUGCGAAAGCAUUUACCAAGGAUGUUUUCAUCA